AGGCGGCGUUGAGUCCGAACGUCGCACCGAGGUUCGCCUCGUAGAUGUCGUCGCCGAUCUGGAACACGGCACGGUUGUCGCAGCGCACCUGGUUGUUGCGCUCGAAGGUCCGGUGGCACCCCGGGAGAUCGAGUGUCUCGUUCACCGUGCGCUUGGUGGCGAAGGGGAAGAAGAAGACGGCCAUCAACACGAACACGAUGACC
rnacentral:misc_RNA from 1 species